CCGCAGACGAGAUAGCCAUCGAGUCCCCGGCGCACUUCCGCCUCUACAAGAGUGGAAGGAUCGAGCGCCUGAACCGGCCUCCGGUCCUCCCCGCCGGCCUCGACGAGGCCACCGGCGUCACCUCCAAGGACGUCGUCCUGGACCCCGAAACCGGCCUGUCAGUGCGCCUCUACCUCCCAAAGGUCGGCCAGGAGCCGUCCAAGAAGCUCCCCGUCCUCGUCUUCUUCCACGGCGGCGGGUUCAUGCUCGAGUCAGCCGGCUCUGCCACGUACCACACCUACGUCAACCCCCUCGCCGCCGCGGCGGGCGUCCUCGUGGUGUCCGUGUGCUACCGCCUGGCCCCCGAGCACCCGCUCCCGGCUGCCUACGAGGACUCCUGGGCCGCGCUCCAGUGGGCGGCGUCGGCGCGGGACGAGUGGAUCGCCGAGCACGGCGACGUGGCUCGCCUCUUCCUCGCCGGCGACAGCGCCGGCGCCAACAUCGUGCACGACAUGCUGCUGAGGGCGUCCGGCAACGGCGGCCCGAGCAUCGAGGGCGCCAUCAUGCUCCACCCGUGGUUCGGCGGGAGCACGCUCAUCGAGGGGGAGUCGGAGGUCGCCGCAGCGAUCACCGCCGGGCUCUGGGUUUACGCGUGCCCGGACGCGGUCGGCGGCGUCGACGACCCGAGGAUGAACCCGCUGGCGCCCGGCGCGCCGUCGCUGGAGAAGCUCGGGUGCGCGAGGAUGCUGGUGUGCGCCGGCAACAAGGACGGGCUCUACGCGAGGGGCCGCGCGUACUACGAGGCCGUGGCGGCGAGCGCGUGGCCCGGGGACGUGGCGUGGCACGAGUCCGACGGGGAGGAGCACGUCUUCUUCCUCCCGAAGCCCGAGUGCGAGAACGCCAAGCAGCUCAUGGACCGCGUCGUGGCCUUCAUAGCCGGGGCCUGACUUUGCUGUCUCUCCCUCUGUGUUCCGCUCGUCGCAGCAUUCGAGGUUCGAGCUGUCAUUGAACUUGUGCAAGUUUUUCUGGUUGAAUAAAUCGGUCUUGGUCCGGGCAUGAUUUUUCUUGUGGACGUGUGUAGUUUUGAGCUUGUUGAAACUGAAAAUUGUUCACUAUUCCAGCUCUGCGCCUCUGCCACAGUCGAGGAGGGCAGUAGAGUGUUGUCGUCGUGUCCCCAUACAUCUCUUCUCGAGACUUGAAUUGCUUAUUCUGCUACGAAGCUUUAUGAUAAGAUUUUUCAUAUUUCCAUGAAUAUGGAAAGUUCCUAUUUAACGUUAUUAUCACGAUAGUUUUAUCCAUUUCCAAACUCGCUACUUACAAGUGCAAGCUCCAAGGAUAAAAUGUCCGAAGAGGCCAGUAGAACGUUGUUAGUUUAGAGCUUUGGGCCCUGCAUGUUUACAAUCCACCUCAUAAUCUGUCCUCUGAAUUGUUAUAGUCUAAUUAUAAUUACAAAGUAAUAAGCUUGAUUAUAUACUCUGGGGUGGGAAACAAACAUUGCCUUAUAAUAAUCUUUCUAUAAACUAGGAACUCUUUCACAACAUUAGAAUAGUUUUGAUCGAUUUUCUUAACCUGUAUUCAUGGAUGUGUGCUCUAAGGGUACAAGACUCCCAAAUAAAAAUGAGAAUUCUAUGACCGAAAUGGUUACUACAGAUGAGAUGAACAUGAACGACCUUUACCAAUCUCUUGAGCGGCUUGUCAUAAUUUUUAACCAACCACCUGAAAACUACUGAGAAUCACAACAAAACACACAACUAUGAUGCUUACGUUCGAAACAAAUAAAUCCCCUCUAAUCCACACAUAAUGGGAGGGAUUGGAUGAAAAUAAUUAAUUUUCCAUUUUAAUCCACAUGUGCCGAGAGUAAAUGAUUUUAAUCCAAACAAGCCAUGAAAAAGGAGCAGCACUAAAGAACUGGACAAUAGCCUCCAUGCAACAUAACAAGAUGUCGCACCAAAUUCAGACAGUGUGAGCGAAAUGCAAUUAUAGAGAACCUAGACACCGCUCAAUGUGGUUUGAUUAGGCGAUUACUUCAAGUGAUAAACAAAAGAAGGUAGGGUUUACAAACCCGGAAAGACCGCUUGAAUGCGAUACACCACUUUAGACGAAUAAAUGUUUGCGUAUUUCAAAAUUUGAACAGAACUUCGCUUUUCUAAAUUCAAUUGAAACUCGGUUAAAUCAACUCCAAAUAUAGAAUUUGGCAGGUAUUUGAAACAACCAAAACAAACAUAUUCGAACAAGUAAAUCAAGUUGUAGGCCUUGUUUAGUUGCCCAACUUUGAGCAACCAAAAUUACUGUAGCGCAACUGUAGCGUUUCGUUUGUAUUUGUGAAUUAUUGUCCAAAUAUUGACUAAUUAGGCUCAAAAGAUUCGUCUCGCAAAGUACAACAAAAUUGUGCAAUUAGUUUUUGAUUGCGUCUAUAUUCAGUACUCCAUGCAUGUACCGCAAGUUUGAUGUGAUGUGAAAUCUUCUUUUUGCAUAGUGUCAAAAUUAGAAUUUGGGGUGAACUAAACACGGCCGUAAUCGAGAAGGUUACGUCCACGUUUGUGAUUUGGAGUAUCGAGACCAAUUUUAUGGAAUUAAUUUGAUAUCGUAGAUACGGUGUAUUUUUGGAAAAAAAAAUUGGUCAAAACUUGACUUAGGACAAAAGAGUUCUUUUCAUUUCGAAACAUCUAUAUCAUCCGAUGGCCCCAAGCACGUGUGGUCAUGAUUCACUCCCAAGAGAGAGGCUGAGCUGAUCGCUCACCUUAUCACCACCACCCUGGCACCCCAUUGGCCCAUUCGAAUGCUGUGGUCGGACUUAAAGGUCUAGGUCACCUAUGCGAAGCCAGUGUGCUACGCCUCGAGUGUGGAACGUGUAGCUCGUUUAUGCAAUAUUUUUUUUUACACUUGUUUAUGCAAUAGUUAUGAUGCGAGCUCUUUGCCACAAGAUCAGAGCAAUUCCAUACUGUCAUAGGACCGAGCUCCGGAUUUUGUCCACGCCAUGGAUUCCAGCGACUUGGCCGGGUUCAAUUGGCUAUGGAAUUGAUUUUCCAUCCCGGAAAAAUCCAUCGUAUCUUCGGAAGCCUGCCAGUGUCUCCACCAAGGCCACGCCGGCACCUUCCUCCAUGGUCAUGGAGCCCACCGCGGACGAGGUGGCCUUCGAGUCCCCGGCGCACUUCCGCAUCUACAAGAGCGGCAAGAUCGAGCGCCUGAACAGGCCUCCGGUUCUCCCCGCCGGCCUCGACGAGGCCACCGGAGUCACCUCCAAGGACGUCGUCCUGGACGCCGAAACCGGCCUCUCAGCUCGCCUCUACCUCCCGAAGCUCCAGGAGCCGUCCAAGAAGCUCCCCGUCGUCGUGUACAUCCACGGCGGCGCGUUCCUGCUCGAGU
rnacentral:lncRNA from 1 species